UCUGUAGGUGUGAAUGUGUUUGUCGAUAUGUUGCCCCACGCAAACUGGCGUCCUGUCCAGGGUGAACCCCGCCUCACACUCUGUUACUGCUGGGACAGGCUCCAUCUCCCCCGUGACCCUGAAUUGGAGUAAGUGGCUAUAGAUGAUGGAUGGAUGGAUGGAUGUUUUUUUC